rnacentral:rRNA from 1 species
AACACCCUUUAAGGUAGUAUUUAUUAAUAAAACCCAUAUAACAUAGGCGGCAUUAAUAUUAAUUGGAGGAAUUUGUCAUUUAAUCGUAAACACGCGUUCACAUUUACUUAAUAAUAUAAAGGUAGUAUACCUCCGUCAUUAUAAUAAAUAGAUUACUCUAAAAAAUCAGGUCAAGGUGCACCCUAUUUUUAAGAUAUGAUAAUUUACAAUAAUCAAUUACUUAUAUUAAUUAAUAUUUAAUAAUAAAAAUAUAGGAUUCAAAUGUAUUAUAUAUAUAAAAUACUAUAAAGAAUUAAUAAAUUAAUGUGC